GAAGCACAUGGUCUCUUGCCUCCAAGAUGUUCUGACUCAGCAUGCAACACAAGUCAUCCCACUGUUUGUUCAAAAUGAAAGAGUAUGUGCCUAUUUUAUAGCAACUUUGUUUGGGAUUUUACAAGUUAUAGAAGACAGCAGUAUCCUGGAUUUACUCAUUGAAGUAUUAGUACAGCUGGUAGUAGAGCUGAAAUUGGAGAGGUAUCUGCACUACCUACUGGAUGAAUG